rnacentral:rRNA from 1 species
AGGACGAACGCUUGCGACGUGCCUAAGAAAUGCAAGUCGAACGGAUCAGCAGCAAUGCUGGUUAGUGGCGAACGGUCGCGUAACACGUGGGCAACCUGCCCUGAAGCGGGGGACAACAAGCCGAAAGGUUUGCUAAUACCGCAUGUGGAUCGCCUCGGCAUCGAGGAUUAUCCAAAGCAGCAAUGCACUUCAGGAUGGGCCCGCGGCCUAUCAGCUAGUUGGAGGGGUAACGGCCCACCAAGGCUUCGACGGGUAGCUGGUCUGAGAGGACGAUCAGCCGGAUUGGGACUGAGAUACGGCCCAGACUCCUACGGGGGGCAGCAAUUAGGAAUCUUGCACAAUGGGCGAAAGCCUGAUGCAGCGACGUCGCGUGGGGGAUGAAAUCUUUCGGGAUGUAAACCCCUUUGUCAGGGAAGAACAAUGACGGUACCUGACGAAUAAGCCCCGGCUAACUACGUGCCAGCAGCCGCGGUAA